rnacentral:rRNA from 1 species
UACGUAGGUGGCAAGCGUUUGUCCGGAUUUACUGGGCGUAAAGAGCGCGCAGGCGGUCGUUCAAGUCGCGUGUGAAAGCCCCCGGCUCAACUGGGGAGGGUCACGCGAUACUGAUCGACUCGAAGGCAGGAGAGGGAAGUGGAAUUCCCGGUGUAGUGGUGAAUGCGUAGAUAUCGGGAGGAACACCAGUGGCGAAGGCGACUUCCUGGCCUGUUCUUGACGCUGAGGCGCGAAAGCUAGGGGAGCAAACGGG